rnacentral:tRNA from 1 species
UUUUAGAUAGCUUAAUUAUUAAAGCUUAACAUUGAAAUUGUUAUGAUGAUUUUAUCUUUAAACA